rnacentral:rRNA from 1 species
GAUGAACGCUGGCGGCGUGCCUAAUACAUGCAAGUCGAGCGAACGGACGAGAAGCUUACUUCUCUGAUGUUGGCGGCGGACGGGUGAGUAACACGUGGAUAACCUACCUAUAAGACUGGGAUAACUUCGGGAAACCGGAGCUAAUACCGGAUAAUAUUUUGAACCGCAUGGUUCAAAAGUGAAAGACGGUCUUGCUGUCACUUAUAGAUGGAUCCGCGCUGCAUUAGCUAGUUGGUAAGGUAACGGCUUACCAAGGCAACGAUGCAUAGCCGACCUGAGAGGGUGAUCGGCCACACUGGAACUGAGACACGGUCCAGACUCCUACGGGAGGCAGCAGUAGGGAAUCUUCCGCAAUGGGCGAAAGCCUGACGGAGCAACGCCGCGUGAGUGAUGAAGGUCUUCGGAUCGUAAAACUCUGUUAUUAGGGAAGAACAUAUGUGUAAGUAACUGUGCACAUCUUGACGGUACCUAAUCAGAAAGCCACGGCUAACUACGUG